UUCGUAGUUGCAGGUUCAUUGGCUGGUUCCCUCUUGUGCUUUCUCAAUGUAAUUUCUCUUCUCUACAAAAUUAUUGAAAUACCAUAGCCAUUAUUCAAUUCAUUUUAGUUAUAUUUAAGUAUAAGUUAUAGUGAUGAACAUAAGUGUAUUUGGUACUAUAUAUAGUACAUGAAUACUCAGACUAAAUUCAAUCUUUGUAGGGUUGCAUUUAUAUUGUUGAUGCAUAUAAAGGUUACUGGAGUAGCUGUGUUAAAGGGAUUCACGCUGGACAAAUGGUUCUGCGGCUAGUUGAAGCAAUUGGGUUGCCUACAAAAUAAUCAGACAACUCUGGAAUGGACUCUUUUUCCUUGGAUACAUAUUUGAAACCAAGAACUUGUUACUGCUUGGGUUGUCAUCUUGGCUUGCCUUGUCCAUGGGUUUGUUACAGUCUUAGUUGCUAGUGAAGCUCAUGCAAUAACUCUGGCUGUUGAGGGUUUGUUAGGAGUUGUGUUUACAGUGGCUGCAUUAACAGAUGAAGCAAUGGAUGUUGGUGAGGUAUUUUUUUUUUUUUUUUGCUAUAAGAGUUCUCUGAUAUGUCUACAAAUUAGUUUAUGAAUUUUGACCUAUAUCUAAUUUGUUCAUGAAAUUGUUUAAAAAUCAUGCUUUAAAGUUUAAUUAAGUGCUUGUUCUCUUUGUUUAAUUAACCCUGUUCAAUCCCCAAAUAACAUCCAGCCAUUUAUUAUAAUUCAGAGUUGUUUAAGUUCUUGGCACAAUGUUCCAGUGAUAUUUCAUUAUAAGUCUGUAAAAAUUAUAGUAUAGCAUUCAUUCAUUACCUGGGCUAAAUACAUGUUAGUUUGGAUUCCAAGUGGGUUAAUGAAAUCUUUUACAGGUCUUUGUUAAUUUUUAAGCAUCUCCAUUUUUUUUUUGUCUUUAGCACAUAUAAUCAUUAAGCUGUGCAAAAUAGCUAGUGGUAUGAGGUUCAUCUCAUCUGAUGUUCAUGCAUAUCU